rnacentral:rRNA from 1 species
AACGAACGCUGGCGGCGUGCCUAACACAUGCAAGUCGAACGGAAUUUGAGAGCUUGCUCUUAAAUUUAGUGGCGCACGGGUGAGUAACGCGUAGAUAUCUGCCUGACGAUCUGGGAUAACACUUCGAAAGAGGUGCUAAUACCGGAUAAGCCCACGGAGUCUUUGGAUUCUGCGGGAAAAGGGGGGGACCUUCGGGCCUUCUGUCGUCAGAUGAGUCUGCGUACCAUUAGCUAGUUGGUAGGGUAAUGGCCUACCAAGGCGACGAUGGUUAGCUGGUCUGGGAGGAUGAUCAGCCACACUGGAACUGAGACACGGUCCAGACUCCUACGGGAGGCAGCAGUGGGGAAUUUUGCGCAAUGGGCGAAAGCCUGACGCAGCAACGCCGCGUGAGUGAUGAAGGCUUUCGGGUCGUAAAGCUCUGUCGAGGGGAAAGAAGUGUACUUUGGCUAAUAUCCAUUGUACUUGACGGUACCCCUAAAGGAAGCACCGGCUAACUCCGUGCCAGCCGCCGCCGUAAAAC